rnacentral:misc_RNA from 1 species
GAAAUGCGAUAAGUAGUGUGAAUUGCAGAAUUCAGUGAAUCAUCGAAUCUUUGAACGCACAUUGCGCCCCUUGGUAUUCCAUGGGGCAUGCCUGUUCGAGCGUCAUCUACACCCUCAAGCUCUGCUUGGUGUUGGGCGUCUUUGUCCCGCCUCCGCGCGCGGACUCGCCCCAAAUUCAUUGGCAGCGGUCCUUGUCUCCUCUCGCGCAGCACAUUGCGCUUCUCGAGGUGUUGCGGCCCGCGUCCAGAAAGCAAUCGUUACCGUCUAUGACCUCGGAUCAGGUAGGGAUACCCGCUGAACUUAAGC